GACGAACGCUGGCGGCGUGCCUAAUACAUGCAAGUUGAGCGCUGAAGGUUGGUACUUGUACCGACUGGAUGAGCAGCGAACGGGUGAGUAACGCGUGGGGAAUCUGCCUUUGAGCGGGGGACAACAUUUGGAAACGAAUGCUAAUACCGCAUAAAAACUUUAAACACAAGUUUUAAGUUUGAAAGAUGCAAUUGCAUCACUCAAAGAUGAUCCCGCGUUGUAUUAGCUAGUUGGUGAGGUAAAGGCUCACCAAGGCGAUGAUACAUAGCCGACCUGAGAGGGUGAUCGGCCACAUUGGGACUGAGACACGGCCCAAACUCCUACGGGAGGCAGCAGUAGGGAAUCUUCGGCAAUGGACGAAAGUCUGACCGAGCAACGCCGCGUGAGUGAAGAAGGUUUUCGGAUCGUAAAACUCUGUUGGUAGAGAAGAACGUUGGUGAGAGUGGAAAGCUCAUCAAGUGACGGUAACUACCCAGAAAGGGACGGCUAACUACGUGCCAGCAGCCGCUGUAA
rnacentral:rRNA from 1 species